GAGAUUGAGAUAGUAUCGAAUUGAAGCUCUUACAGAGCCAAUUCAGAUCGUUAUCAAAAAAUUUCAUUGGUGGGUAGAGUGGAAGCAGGGAAUAACUUCAGAGAGUUCAACAACAACAAAAUCAACGAGCGCGGCACGCGCGCUAAGUCAACUUCUAGUAGUAAUAACAGGGGAGACUCCAAACGCGUUUAUAUGCAAUCAGCUGAUCGGCUUAGUGCGACUCUUAGCACACUCAUACUUUUUCAAUAUUUAAUUUUUCAAAAUCUGUAAUACUUUUCAAUAAUUUUUUUUUGCUACAACGUUAUUAGGGUAAACGCUAUCAUCUGUCAUUUAAAAGUGAUAAACUCGAAAUACUACCUCAACAUUAUUUAGUAUUGCCAUUGAAAUACCAUUUCCCAAUUCCCAUGUUAUCUUUCAAAAACACUACAUCUCCUAGGGUUCGCAAGUUUACCACCAAAUGUCUCGUCAGUAUCGUUCAGUUGCCAAUGGGUUCAUUUUUAGUUUUGUUUUGUUAAACAAGGCAUUUUACACUAUUAUCAUGCUAAUAUACACAAUAUCUAUUAAUUUCUCCAAUCAGAUAGUAUGACAUAAUGAAAUAAAGAUUGAUGACUUGGUACGGUCAAGUAAAAUGAAGUUCAGCAUGCAUAUCAUAUAAAAUUUGCAUAGAUAGUAAUCUCUUAACCUUAAAUUAGCCUCCGGCAGACAUUUUUAAAACUUAACUUGUAGAACAACUGAAAAACAGUUAGAUGAGUCUAAAGGUCUUAGCAAAUUUGAACCGUUGAUUUUCUACAAGGGGUCCGUGGGCAGAAAGCGAUCGCAACCGAUGCUCGAAGCGCGUAGCGGCCAGGCGGACCGCGGCUACCUAGGCCGAGAAGCGAGCAUCCUAUCGCGAGCCGUUCUACCGAUGACACUGCCGAGAACCAAUUCCCACAGCCUCAGCUUAUCCAAGACUUCGCCGGAGCUUAAAUUCGACGUGGAGCUUGGCGAACGCGUUCGUACUGACACCGAUAACGAUGACGAUGAAGACGACGGUGCGACGACGAUGACAUCAAUGAGUCCUGUUGAUGCGUUGUACUUCACUAUAUAAAUGCAAAUAAUGCAGAUAAUACAUUAUAUUAUGCGCAGCUCAGCGCUCAGCAUGUGUGUGAUAUUUGUGUGAUAUUCUUAAGCCAAGUAAGAUUGGCAGUAUUUUGUCUCAUGUAAUAAAAGUGAGACCAGCAGAGAAAAUCAAAGAACCCGAAUGAGCGAGUACGCACACUGCCUAAUACACUAUUAUAUUACAUUUGACGCGUACACGUUAAAACCUAGAUAGUGAGAACGUAGAAAUAAUUGCUAAGCAAAGAAUAAUGGUAUACUUAUGCAUCAACUAGCUCACAGUCGUACAACUGCCAAAAGAGCAUGAAAUGCGAACAUAAUUCAUCUGAACGUCGAUACGUACACCUAUACGCAUACAUGUAAGUAAGUAUACGACGAAGCGUUAGAAAAGCUACAAAAUUAAAUGAAUUUUAUAUUUUCCUUCUUA